rnacentral:tRNA from 1 species
GUCCCUGUAGAACAAUGGAUAGAGCGUUGAACUUCUAAUCCAAAGGUCGUGGAUUCAAAUCCCACCUGGGAUG